rnacentral:rRNA from 1 species
UACGAGGGGUCCAAGCGUUGUUCGGAAUCACUGGGCGUAAAGCGGGUGUAGGUGGCUCAGCAAGUUGGAUGUGAAAGCCCCGGGCUCAACCCGGGAAGUGCAUCCAAAACUACUGAGCUUGAGUACGGGAGAGAAAGGUAGAAUUCCAGGUGUAGUGGUGAAAUACGUAGAUAUCUGGAGGAACACCGGUGGUGAAGACGGCCUUUUGGCCCAGUACUGACACUCAGACCCGAAAGCGUGGGUAGCAAACAGG